rnacentral:rRNA from 1 species
AGUAAUGUAUGGGGAUCUGCCCGAUAGAGGGGGAGUAACCACUGGAAACGGUGGCUAAUACCGCAUAAUGUCUACGGACCAAAGCAGGGGCUCUUCGGACCUUGCACUAUCGGAUGAACCCAUAUGGGAUUAGCUAGUAGGUGGGGUAAAGGCUCACCUAGGCGACGAUCUCUAGCUGGUCUGAGAGGAUGAUCAGCCACACUGGGACUGAGACACGGCCCAGACUCCUACGGGAGGCAGCAUG